rnacentral:sRNA from 1 species
CCAACAUAUUGGCUACCAUUUCAACCGACACAUCGAUCGAAGCCACAAACCCAAUCGCUCAUAAAAAUCAACAAUCAGAAAGAAGGGAAUGAUGUGGGAAAGCGAAGCCCCCAAAAACAUAAAUAACAUUGCUGGGGCCAACAUGUUAGCUUCCAAUCCCCGCGUCCGGACACCAUCGGUCGAGAUGUCAAGGAGAAGAAACUCGAAAGGCAAAACGAGUUUCAAUUGACAUGGGUUAACAACCGCUUUCAUAUCCAUGUCUAUGAUCACCGAGCCGGUUAGGCUCAGCUACCUCUGUGCAAUGGAUUCGGAUAUCAUUUUCGGCCUCAGCCCUUCAAAACUGACUGCGUAUGCGUGGACAAAUUUGCUCUGCACGAAAUGGAUGGCGGACACAGGUUGGUACUAGCGGUCCGAACAUAUCCUUCUCCGUGGGCACUCCCCGAGAUCUGACUUAGAUUACUGGGAAGAGGCGUUGGCGGGAAGAGGACGACCAGAAAGAAGCUGGUUGUGGGUUGAGUUUCCUUCGUUCAGUCUAUAUAGCAACCUGACUCUUCCUGUUCCCCGCUAUAAACAAAUCUGCUUUAUGAUAUGUCUCUAUAUAUUUCUUUAACGGUAAAGAUGUCUAAAUGACUCUCUUUUGCUUAUAUUUUGAUUCAUACUCCGACAGAAGAGAAAUGUGUGUAUGCAAAUGAACUAUAAAAGUUACGUGCGAGAGGAUUACAAAACACUUUUGAGUGGUUCUACUCUAUUUUUCGCAAGAGGCCAAUAACUUAACUUCAAGCAUAGUAGUAUAUUCUUUCUUCUUGUUUUACUGGGCCAGCUGCUGAUCCAUAUAACUUGAAAAUCUUCAAAUCAGCGAUUUAUUUCCAUUGAAAAGAGUUCAACAGUUCUUGUAUAGAUAACAUAUGAC